rnacentral:rRNA from 1 species
UACGUAGGGGGCGAGCGUUGUCCGGAGUUACUGGGCGUAAAGCGCUUGUAGGCGGUCCACCAAGUUUGGGGUGACAGUUGCCGACUUAAUCGGCAAAGUGCCUCAAAGACUGGCGGACUUGAGGGCCACAGAGGGACAUGGAACUCCAGGUGUAGUGGUGAAAUGCGUAGAUAUCUGGAAGAACACCAAAGGCGAAGGCAGUGUCCUGGGUGGUCGCUGACGCUGAGAGGCGAAAGCCAGGG